AGGGCGCACGGUGAAUGCCUGGGCACUGGAAGCCGAUGAAGGACGUGACGAACCACGAAAGUCUUCGGGUAGCCGUAAGUAGGCUGUGAUCCGGAGGUAUCCGAAUGGGGGAACCCGGCAUGGCGACAUGUCAUCUUUAAGUGAAUACAUAGCUUAAAGAAGGAACACGCAGUGAACUGAAACAUCUAAGUAGCUGCAGGAAGAGAAAGAAAUUCGAUUUCCCAAGUAGCGGCGAGCGAACAGGAAAGAGCCCAAACCGCUAGAUUUAUCUAGCGGGGUUGUAGGACUGAGACGUGGCAUUUUGGCGGAUAGCAGAAGCAUCUGGGAAGAUGCGCCAGAGAGGGUGACAGCCCCGUAAGCGAAAUCCAAAGAAAGCCUAUCAGGAUCCUGAGUAGGGCGGGACACGAGAAAUCCCGUCUGAAUCCGCGAGGACCAUCUCGCAAGGCUAAAUACUAACCAGUGACCGAUAGUGAACCAGUACCGUGAGGGAAAGGUGAAAAGAACCCCGGGAGGGGAGUGAAAGAGAACCUGAAACCGUGUGCCUACAAGUAGUCAGAGCCCGUUAAAGGGUGAUGGCGUGCCUUUUGUAGAAUGAACCGGCGAGUUGCGUUAGCCAGCGAGGUUAAGUCAGAAAAGACGGAGCCGCAGCGAAAGCGAGUCUGAAUAGGGCGAGCAGUUGGCUGAUGCAGACCCGAAACCAAGUGACCUACCCAUGACCAGGUUGAAGGCGCGGUAAAACGCGCUGGAGGACCGAACCCACGUAAGUUGAAAAUUGCGGGGAUGAGUUGUGGGUAGCGGUGAAAUUCCAAACGAACUUGGAGAUAGCUGGUUCUCUCCGAAAUAGCUUUAGGGCUAGCCUCGCAAAGAGGAUGCUGGAGGUAGAGCUCUGUUUGGACUAGGGGCCCGUCAGGGGUUACUGAAUCCAGAUAAACUGCGAAUUCCAGACAUUUAUAUGCGGGAGUCAGACUGCGAGUGAUAAGAUCCGUAGUCGAAAGGGAAACAGCCCAGAUCACCAGUAAGGUCCCUAAAUACAUGCUAAGUGGAAAAGGAUGUGGAGUUGCGCAGACAACUAGGACGUUGGCUCAGAAGCAGCCAUCAUUCAAAGAGUGCGUAAUAGCUCACUAGUCGAGUGACGCCGCGCCGAAAAUUUACCGGGGCUAAGCAUGAUACCGAAACUGUGGAUGCAUACAAAAGUAUGCGUGGUAGGAGAGCGUUCCAGCGGCGAAGAAGCAUGACUGAGAAGACAUGUGGAGCUUCUGGAAGUGAGAAUGCCGGUAUGAGUAACGAAAGACAGGUGAGAAUCCUGUCCGCCGCAAGACUAAGGUUUCCUGGGGCAGGCUCGUCCGCCCAGGGUAAGUCGGGACCUAAGGCGAGGCCGAGAGGCGUAGUCGAUGGACAACAGGUAGACAUUCCUGUACUGCACCCAAUCGUUAUGAGCGAAGGAGGGACGCAGGAGGCUAGCAGCGCAUGGUGCUGGAAACCAUGUUCAAGCGCUGAGUCUGGAAAUGAGUCAAAUGCUUAUUUCCUUAAGGACAAGGCGUGAUGAGGAGCGAAAUUAAAGUAGCGAAGGCUGCGACGUCACACUGCCAAGAAAAGCUUCUAGCCAGAGAAGGUGCACCCGUACCGCAAACCGACACAGGUAGUCGAGGAGAGUAUCCUCAGGUGAGCGAGAGAACUCUCGUUAAGGAACUCGGCAAAAUGGCCCCGUAACUUCGGGAGAAGGGGCGCUGGUCGCAAGAUCAGCCGCAGUGAAAAGGCCCAAGCAACUGUUUAUCAAAAACACAGGCAUCUGCAAAAUCGUAAGAUGAAGUAUAGGUGCUGACACCUGCCCGGUGCUGGAAGGUUAAGAGGAGAGCUUAGCGCAAGCGAAGGUUUGAAUUGAAGCCCCAGUAAACGGCGGCCGUAACUAUAACGGUCCUAAGGUAGCGAAAUUCCUUGUCGGGUAAGUUCCGACCUGCACGAAAGGUGUAAUGAUUUGGGCACUGUCUCAACGAGAGACUCGGUGAAAUUAUAAUACCCGUGAAGAUGCGGGUUACCCGCGACAGGACGGAAAGACCCCAUGGAGCUUUACUGCAGUUUAAUAUUGGGUAUCUGUCAAGCAUGUACAGGAUAGGUAGGAGCCGGAGAAGAUAGGACGCCAGUCUUAUCGGAGGCGCUGUUGGGAUACUACCCUUGCUUGACGGAUGCUCUAACUCAGGCGUGUAAACCAGGCCGAGGACAGUGUUUGACGGGCAGUUUGACUGGGGCGGUCGCCUCCUAAAGUGUAACGGAGGCGCUCAAAGGUUCCCUCAGAAUGGUUGGAAAUCAUUCGCAGAGUGUAAAGGUAAAAGGGAGCUUGACUGCGAGAGAGACAACUCGAGCAGGUACGAAAGUAGGACUUAGUGAUCUGGUGGCGCCGCAUGGAAGGGCCAUCACUCAACGGAUAAAAGCUACCCUGGGGAUAACAGGCUUAUCUCCCCCAAGAGUUCACAUCGACGGGGAGGUUUGGCACCUCGAUGUCGGCUCGUCGCAUCCUGGGGCUGAAGUCGGUCCCAAGGGUUGGGCUGUUCGCCCAUUAAAGCGGCACGCGAGCUGGGUUCAGAACGUCGUGAGACAGUUCGGUCCCUAUCCGUCGUGGGCGCAGGAAAUUUGAGAGGAGCUGUCCUUAGUACGAGAGGACCGGGAUGGACGCACCGCUGGUGUACCAGUUGUCUUGCCAAAGGCAUCGCUGGGUAGCUAUGUGCGGAAGGGAUAAGCGCUGAAAGCAUCUAAGUGCGAAGCCCCCCUCAAGAUGAGAUUUCCCAUUUCU
rnacentral:rRNA from 1 species